UUGGAGGGCAAGUCUGGUGCCAGCAGCCGCGGUAAUUCCAGCUCCAAUAGCGUAUAUUAAAGUUGUUGCAGUUAAAAAGCUCGUAGUUGAACUUCAGGCCUGGCUGGACGGUCCGCCUUCCGGGCGAGUACUGUCUGUGGUCGGGUCCUACCUUCUGGCGAAGCGUCAUGGCCUUAACCGGCCGUGGCGGGGAACCAGGACUUUUACUGUGAAAAAAUUAGAGUGUUCAAAGCAGGCAAUUCGCUUGGAUACAUUAGCAUGGAAUAAUGGAAUAGGACAAUGGUUCUAUUUGUUGGUUUCUAGGACUGUUGUAAUGAUUAAUAGGGAUAGUUGGGGGCAUUAGUAUUCAAUUGUCAGGGGUGAAAUUCUUGGAUUUAUUGAAGACUAACUACUGCGAAAGCACUUGCCAAGGAUGUUUUCAUUAAUCAAGAACGAAAGUUAGGGGAUCGAAGACGAUCAGAUACCGUCGUAGUCUUAACCAUAAACUAUGCCGACUAGGGAUCGGACGAAGUUAAUUUUAUAAUGACGCGUUCGGCGCCUUACGGGAAAC
rnacentral:rRNA from 1 species